rnacentral:lncRNA from 1 species
GUCCUGCCCAUCUGUGGGCCCUCGGGGGCUGCGCUCUGCUCCUCUGACAUGGCUGUGCUGUGCUUGUCCUUGCAGCUGCAGAUUUCUUCAGCUGUGGUCAGCUUGGAGAGGUAUGCAAAGGCAUGGUCAAGGACACUGUCUGAAGAUCCCAGCUAUGCCUGCUGCCUCCUUUUCCUGCAGCCUUUGUCUCAGAACACAAUGUCCUUAUUAGUCUGCAGGAGGGUAUGUUGUCUUCUUGUUCUUACAUAAGUCGCAUUCCUCCUCCUGUCAAAGAACGUAAUUGCACUCAUGUCCAAAGCACUUGGACAUAUCAGGCGCAAUUCAUGCCUGUUGUCUGUCCACUUUUAUCGGGGAAGUCAGAGAAAGGAUAAGCUCUGAAAUCGGGGUGAAACCUCUGCCUUCUGUCACGUUCCUCAAGCAUGAACGUUAUUGUGGCAUUUAAAGAACAAUAACUUGCUGACAUAGUUCCUAGUAAUACCAGGGCAUAUUUUAUUAAUGCAUUCACACAGCAUGUUGGCCAGCUCUGUUUAACAGCUGCCAAGGGUUACACUGGUAAAUGCCAAAGAAGGCCUCAUUUGUCUGCCUGCCUGCGUACAGAUGCUGGACCUGGAUUACCCUCCAGCACAAGCUUUGAGAUCCUCUCAGCUGCUCCCUUCCCCGGGCCACAGUCCACGAUCAUUUCCAGUUUGGAAAAAAGCAUGUUUUCCCAACUGCCACCUCCAGAGGUGAAACUGAUAUUGCCAGAUACACAAGAGGCUAAUGUGAAAAGUGAGAAAGGCAAAAAGCUGGAGAUAUGCCCAAGUGGUAUUUCUGCAUCACUUUCAGAAGGAAAUAUAUUUUUGGGCAUUGGAGACAGUGAGCAAGGCAUCUUUUUGGUCAGAGUGAGUAAGAUAGCUUGA